UACGUAGGUGGCGAGCGUUAUCCGGAAUUAUUGGGCGUAAAGAGCGCGCAGGUGGUUGAUUAAGUCUGAUGUGAAAGCCCACGGCUUAACCGUGGAGGGUCAUUGGGAAACUGGUCGACUUGAGUGCAGAAGAGGGAAGUGGAAUUCCAUGUGUAGCGGUGAAAUGCGUAGAGAUAUGGAGGAACACCAGUGGCGAAGGCGGCUUCCUGGUCUGUAACUGACACUGAGGCGCGAAAGCGUGGGGAGCAAACAGGAUUAGAUACCCCU
rnacentral:rRNA from 1 species